rnacentral:lncRNA from 1 species
AAAUUUAUAAAUCAUACAAGACUAACAAAGGCCAGAGGCUCAUGACUUGGGACAGGCGCAAAAUUGCGGCGGGGUUAAACAUGUUUAUGAGAUCUCAACCCUCCCCCUAUACCUCUAGCCAAUGUAGAAAAGUAAAAUAAUAACAAUACGCACAUUAAAAUUCAGUUCAAGAGAAGUCCGAGUCUGAUGUCAAAAGAUGUAACAAAAGAAAAUAAAUAAAAUGACAAUAAUACAUAAAUAACAACAGACCACUAGCAGUUAACUGACAUGCCAGCUCCAGACCUCAAUUAAACUGAUUGAAAGAUUAUGUCUUCAUCAUAUGAAUAUCAGGUACAAUCC